rnacentral:rRNA from 1 species
AGCGAACGCUGGCGGCAGGCUUAACACAUGCAAGUCGAACGGUCCUUCGGGAUAGUGGCGGACGGGUGAGUAACACGUGGGAACGUACGCUUAGGGUCGGAACAACACAGGGAAACUUGUGCUAAUACCGGAUAAGCCCUCCGGGGGAAAGAUUUAUCGCCUUUGGAGCGGCCCGCGUCGGAUUAGCUGGUUGGUGAGGUAAUGGCUCACCAAGGCUCCGAGCAGUAGCUGGUCUGGGAGGAUGGCCAGCCACACUGGGACUGACACUCGGCCCAGACUCCUACGGGAGGCAGCAGUGGGGAAUCUUGCGCAAUGGGCGAAAGCCUGACGCAGCCAUGCCGCGUGGGUGAGGAAGGUCUUAGGAUUGUAAAAUCCUUUCACCGGGGACGAUAAUGACGGUACCCGGAGAAGAGGCCCCGGCUAACUUCGUGCCAGCCGCCGCCGUAA